rnacentral:rRNA from 1 species
AGAGUUUGAUCCUGGCUCAGAUUGAACGCUGGCGGCAUGCCUAACACAUGCAAGUCGAACGGUAACGCGGGGGCAACCCUGGCGACGAGUGGCGGACGGGUGAGUAAUACGUAGGAAUCUACCCUGUAGUGGGGGAUAACCCGGCGAAAGCCGGGCUAAUACCGCAUACGCUCUACGGAGGAAAGCGGGGGAUCGCAAGACCUCGCGCUAAAGGAUGAGCCUACGUCGGAUUAGCUAUUUGGUAGGGUAACGGCCUACCAAGGCGACGAUCCGUAGCUGGUCUGAGAGGACGAUCAGCCACACUGGGACUGAGACACGGCCCAGACUCCUACGGGAGGCAGCAGUGGGGAAUAUUGGACAAUGGGGGCAACCCUGAUCCAGCAAUGCCGCGUGUGUGAAGAAGGCCUGCGGGUUGUAAAGCACUUUCAGUGGGGAAGAAAAAAUCGGAUCUAACACAUCCGAUCUUGACGUUACCCAUAGAAGAAGCACCGGCUAACUCCGUGCCAGCAG